UCCCACCCUGUUGUGAAACCGAUUUCAUAACACGCUUUUACUCCGACUGCCAGUGGUUUUUAUAUUUCUCAAAAUCAUAAAACGCGCACCGACAAGUUACUAAUCUCCAAACGCUAUUAUAAUGAUCUGGGCCGUUCGAGUCAUCUAAAUACAGGGAAUCUGCCGCCUGCAGAAACAUGUGACAGAAAAACGUGAAACGUUUUUUUUCCUGGCGUCUCUUCAUUCAGCCUCAUUAACUGCCUUUAAAAAAAACAGCUGAUAUGGCUGACUUAAACAAAUGUGACUUAACUUAAACAAAUGUGGUUUCUACUGACAGUUGAGAUGUACAAACUAUGACAUAAGGGGACGACAAGCGGGUAAGAGGCCAUCCGUAAUUUCCAUUAAGACAUUAAGAACCUGAGCCCUAGGACCAUACGUCAGGACUACCGGGCAUGAUGACUCCUUGCUGUCCCCAGUCCACCUGGCCUUGCUGCUAUUCCAGUUUCAACUGUUCUGCCUGCGGUUAUGGAACCCCUACCUGUCCCAGACCUGCUGCUUUCAACUCUUAAUGAUCGGCUAUGAAAAGCCAACUGACAUUUAUUCCUGAUUAUUAUUUGACCAUGCUUGUCACUUAUGAACAUUUUGAACAUCUUGGCCAUGUUCUGUUAUAAUCUCCACCCGGCACAGCCAGAAGAGGACUGGACUUCCGACUUUAGUGCAUUCAAGACAACUGUAAACUUGGGAAAAAACAAGCUCCGACUGGGAAAAAUUAUUUUGACUUUGUGGCUGUGGUAACUAGUGGACACCCCCAUCUUCUCCCACUGUCAGCCAUUGGGCUUCCUCUCAUCACCACAUUUGGUGGUGAAUGGAAAUGCCAACCCUAAACUUCAGAUUUAUACAUCCAAUGGAACAUCUGGCUCAUUGUUCUGUCUGUGUUAACGAGGCAACACUCCCAUCUUAACUCCUCCUCCACAUUUACUGGAUUGGUUGAACAGUGCAGAAGAGAACCUCCCCUGACAGGUUUUUUUCUUCUUUUCAAGACGUCUGUGCCAGGGUUUGUCACAAAUCACCACAGCCACAAAGCCAAAAUUGGGCUAUUGUCAAAAUUCAUGAAAAAUACAAUUGGUUUUGGUCUUAAUUUAAGGUAACGGUUAGUAAUAAGGUUAGCAGUGUGGUUAAGGUUAGGUUGAAAACCUGGGAUGCUGCUGAGGGGAGGACGGCUCAUAAUAAAAGACGGAACAGCGCAAAUGGAAUGGCAUGUAUUUGAUACUAUUCUACUGAUAGCGCUCCAGCCAUUACCAUGAGCCCGUCCUCCCCAAUUAAGGUGCCACCAACCUCCUGUGAUUUAAAAUCACAUUUAAUAAGAGAAAUUGUAGAAAUAGGCACGGUUUAUGACUUUGCAGCUGUGACAAGCCAACGACCUGUGCGGUUGCCAGAGGAUCUUUUGUUUCUUUUACGCCUGCUAGGUUAGGUUAGGUUAGUUCAUGCACUGUCUUCACCCAAUCUGGAUUUGUUCAAAUAAUCAAUGACAAAAACCCAAAACAGGAACAACUGCUGCUUGUAAUCACAUAAUUCUAUGUGAGCCUUGACAUGUUCUCACCGUUUCAUCUGUCCAUGAGUGAUGGUUUUAAGAAAAAAAGUAUUUACUAAAAUAAACUGAAAUAAAAUAACAAAUAAUUAAGGCGCAACAAUAAAAUAAUAGUAGCAAGCCUACAUACAGGGGGUACCGGUAGUCAAUGUGCGGGGGCACCGGUUCCAUGUAGUUGUUCAGCUAGCUCCCCCUCCUCGUCCUACAGUAGUCUAAAUAAAGCUGUAAACUCUCUAACCUUUCCCCCUUUGUUCUCCAUGGCACAGGUAACACAGUAUGUAUGUAAGGGUUAGCCUAAUUAGGGUUUAAUCCCUGGUCCAUCACAAUACCUUUCCAAGAUACGGGAUACGGGUUGUGUUUUAAAUGGCACCCUAUAUAUUUUGAUUUAACUUUUAUUUAACUAGGCAAGUCAGUCAAGAACAAAUACUUAUUUACAAUGACGGCCUACCCCUGCCAAACCCUGACCCGGAUGACGCUAGGCCAAUUGUGCGCCGCCCUAUGGGAAUCCCAAUCACAGCCGGUUGUGAUACAGCCUGGAAUCAAACCAGGGUCUGUAAUGACACCUCUAGCACUGAGAUGCAGUGCCUUAGACUGUUGCGCCACUAGAGAGCUAUUCCCUAUAUGUGACACUACAUUUGACCAAGGCUCUGCACUAUGUAGGGAAUAUGGGAUCUGGUCAAAAGUAGUGCACUAUGCCAUUUGGGAUGCAACAAAAAGGAUUGGAACCAUCCCUACAACAUGCAAGUAGGUAGGCCAAUAAGGCCAUUUAUUUAAAGACCGACACAUCUAAACAUAGUCAAUCUGAUGAUAGGACACCCAGCCAUUAGCCCAGAUCCGCCGUAGCCAACUCUCCUCCUGGAAAGCUGAGCUAGCCUACUUGGUGUGCAGGUUUUUGCUCCAGACCAGUGCUAACACAUCUGAUUUAGCUCAUCAAUUGGGUUCCUCAGUGCCUUGAUUAGCUGAAUCAUUGAAUCAGGUGUGUUAAAGUAAUGUCGGAACAACAGCCUUCCCACCUAGCAUCUACAGACCCACAUAAUGCAUCACCUAUGUCUUUCAUAGGCGGUCUAUGAUUCAUAAUCAUUCUGUCACUAUAGCAACCACUUGAAAAUGUAGGCCUCUCGUGACUUGAGUAGGAGUUUGAUAUCUGGGGCAGUAGUGUUGUUUUGAUUGCUCUGCACAAAGACAGGGCAGACUGGUUAGGUAAUGUAUUGUGCUUUCUGCUUCUGUUGAAAUAAAGCAUUCCUGAUGUGA